UGUGAAGUGUCCUGCCAAGAGAAAAUUGAAGUGUCCACUGCUGCUGACGACUCUGUCUUGUGCCCACCACAACAACAUGGUCACCUUCCCUAAGAUGUGGAUACCUGUUGCUCUCACUCUUGUAUGUACACACCUGCUGGUGAACGGAUUUGAGGGUGAGCAGUGGUCCAGAGUACAGCAGUCCAGGGAACAGAUAUAAGAUAGUGAAGCUGCGAACAUCGUCCGUCAAGGAUGUUUGGAACCUUACGUUACCGUAGGCGACCAAUGCCUCUUCUUCGCCACCUUCGCCGAGCUUAGCUACCAAGAUGCUCGCCAAAUGUGUCACUCACUGGACGGGGAACUGGCAGCUGUCCUAACAGCCACACACUUGAAGAACAUAAUUGACUACAUUAAUGACAAUGACAAUUACUGCUCAACCUUCAUUAAUAGUCUGACGUA